UCUUUGAUGAUGGUGACGUACAGAUGGGUUUUUGGUGUGGAUGUCCUUUCUCUUUGUUAGUUUUCCUUCUAACAGCCAGGACCCUCAGCUGCAGGUCAUUGGAGUUUACUGGAGGUCCACUCCAGACCCUGUUUGCCUGGGUGUCAGCAGUGGUGGCUGCAGAACAGUGGAUAUUGGUGAACCGCAAAUGCUGCUGCCUGAUCGUUCCUCUGGAAGUUUUGUCUCAGAGGAGUACCUGGCCGUGUGAGGUGUCAGUCCACCCCUACUGGGGGGUGCCUCCCAGUUAGGCUACUCAGGGGUCAGGGACCCACUUGAGGAGGCAGUCUGCCCAU
rnacentral:lncRNA from 1 species